rnacentral:miRNA from 1 species
CUUGCUCAGAGUCACAUAGCUA